rnacentral:rRNA from 1 species
GACGAACGCUGGCGGCGUGCCUAAUACAUGCAAGUCGAGCGCAGGGAACUGACGGAACUCUUCGGAGGGAAGGCAGUGGAAUGAGCGGCGGACGGGUGAGUAACACGUAAGGAACCUGCCUCAAGGAUUGGGAUAACUCCGAGAAAUCGGAGCUAAUACCGGAUAGUUCAACGGACCGCAUGGUCCGCUGAUGAAAGGCGCUCCGGCGUCACCUUGAGAUGGCCUUGCGGUGCAUUAGCUAGUUGGUGGGGUAACGGCCCACCAAGGCGACGGGGCAUAGCCGACCUGAGAGGGUGAUCGGCCACAGUGGGACUGAGACACGGCCCAGACUCCUACGGGAGGCAGCAGUAGGGAAUCUUCCACAAUGGACGAAAGUCUGAUGGAGCAACGCCGCGUGAGUGAUGAAGGUUCUCGGAUCGUAAAACUCUGUUGUAAGGGAAGAACACGUACGAGAGGGAAUGCUCGUACCUUGACGGUACCUUACGAGAAAGCCACGGCUAACUACGUGCCAGCAGCCGCGGUAAUAC